CAGCUUGUCCUUUGAUGAAUCCAGCAAAAACCUUUAACUUCGUGAUUCUCCGGUAGCAAAACUCAAUUUGUCUACCUCACGACAUGUACACCGAACCAAAAUUGUCACCACCACAAAAGCUCACGGUGUAGACGUCUCUUCACCUCCGUUGCUUCCGAUAGACGUUUCUUUGCUACAACCAUAUUUCUUCAAGGUAAACUUUUGAACUCAUCCUUUAUCAAGCUU